CAGCCGCCGCGGUAAUACGUAGGUGGCAAGCGUUGUCCGGAAUUAUUGGGCGUAAAGCACGCGCAGGCGGCCUAUCCAGUCUGUCUUAAAAGUUCGGGGCUCAACCCCGUGAUGGGAUGGAAACUAGUAGGCUAGAGUAUCGGAGAGGAAAGCGGAAUUCCUAGUGUAGCGGUGAAAUGCGUAGAUAUUAGGAAGAACACCAGUGGCGAAGGCGGCUUUCUGGACGAAAGCUGACGCUGAGGCGCGAAAGCCAGGGGAGCGAACAGGAUUAGAUACCCCCGUAGUCCCUGUCUCUUAUACA
rnacentral:rRNA from 1 species